rnacentral:lncRNA from 1 species
UCAUUUCUUUGAUUCUAUCGACUGCUGCUUCUGGGCGUGAACUGAUGCUCAAGCAACGCUGUUUUUGCCUUCAGUUCCGUGAGCCCAGUGAGGCUUAGCAGGAGUGCGUCGCAAUGCCUUCACUCCAAAUGGGUUGCCCUUGCUCUGUUCAGGAGUUCAAAUAAUCAAAAACAUAAAAUUAGAUUUGUAUGAAUGAUGAUAUACAUAAAAUGGUUGGAGAAGCUAAGUGUAGUUUGUCUUACAAUCAAGCAGGUUCCUUCAUUAACGUUGCAGACUGGGUACUCAUGUGGGCAGCAGCUAUAAUGGUCAUCACAGCAGGUGGCACCCUCGAGUGGGCAGCAUCCCCAUGCAAAGCAAUACUUUCCAUACUCAAAGAUGCAGCAGCAAGUACUGCUAUCAGGGCAGGAAAAGUAAUUAUCACACACGGAAGGAGGUUUUACUGGAGAUGGAGGCGAUGGACCAGGAUUGGGGGGAUUUUGGCCUUUCUUGAUAGGGUAAGAGGGUUCUAUUGCAAUUCCACAUUUUCCUGUUGGACUAGCAAUGUUUCUCUCCAUUCUGAUAUAGCCGCUCUCUCCCCAGCUCUUGCCCCAUGAGUUCCUCACAAUCCAGUAAUCUUUACCCUUUUCAGUUCCGUAACCCACGGCAGCAACACCAUGGUCCAGACUUGUCCCACAUUCUCCAGUAAAUACACCCUGGAAGGUAAGGAAAUAAGAUGUAAUUAAUUAUGAUCGGUUCUUGUAGCCAUUACUCAAUUGAACUGCAUGUUUGACACUUCAACAAAGUUCUACUGUGCUUUAAAACAUCAAAACCAUCAUCAGGUCUUGUACUUAAUACCAUGUCAGGGAGAGAAAUU